GACGAACGCUGGCGGCGUGCUUAACACAUGCAAGUCGAACGAAGAGCGAUGGAAGCUUGCUUCUAUCAAUCUUAGUGGCGAACGGGUGAGUAACGCGUAAUCAACCUGCCCUUCAGAGGGGGACAACAGUUGGAAACGACUGCUAAUACCGCAUACGAUCUAAACUCGGCAUCGAGGAUAGAUGAAAGGUGGCCUCUACAUGUAAGCUAUCACUGAAGGAGGGGAUUGCGUCUGAUUAGCUAGUUGGAGGGGUAACGGCCCACCAAGGCGAUGAUCAGUAGCCGGUCUGGGAGGAUGAACGGCCACAAUGGGACUGAGACACGGCCCAGACUUCUACGGGAGGCAGCAGGGGGGAAUCAUUCGCAAUGGACGGAAGUCUGACGGAGCAACGCCGCGGGAGGGAUGGCGGCCUUCGGGUUGGAAAGCUCUGUUAAUCGGGACGAAAGGCCUUCUUGCGAAUAGUGAGAAGGAUUGACGGUACCGGAAUAGAAAGCCACGGCUAACUACGUG
rnacentral:rRNA from 1 species